GACGAACGCUGGCGGCGUGCCUAAUACAUGCAAGUCGAACGCUGGAGGAGGAGCUUGCUUCUCUGGAUGAGUUGCGAACGGGUGAGUAACGCGUAGGUAACCUGCCUGGUAGCGGGGGAUAACUAUUGGAAACGAUAGCUAAUACCGCAUAAGAGUAGAUGUUGCAUGACAUUUACUUAAAAGGUGCAAUUGCAUCACUACCAGAUGGACCUGCGUUGUAUUAGCUAGUUGGUGAGGUAACGGCUCACCAAGGCAACGAUACAUAGCCGACCUGAGAGGGGGAUCGGCCACACUGGGACUGAGACACGGCCCAGACUCCUACGGGAGGCAGCAGUAGGGAAUCUUCGGCAAUGGACGGAAGUCUGACCGAGCAACGCCGCGUGAGUGAAGAAGGUUUUCGGAUCGUAAAGCUCUGUUGUAAGAGAAGAACGAGUGUGAGAGUGGAAAGUUCACACUGUGACGGUAUCUUACCAGAAAGGGACGGCUAACUACGUG
rnacentral:rRNA from 1 species